rnacentral:rRNA from 1 species
UACACAUGCAGUCGAACGGUGAACAUGGAGCUUGCUCUGUGGGAUCAGUGGCGAACGGGUGAGUAACACGUGAGCAACCUACCCCUGACUCUGGGAUAAGCGCUGGAAACGGCGUCUAAUACUGGAUACGAGUGGCGACCGCAUGGUCAGCUACUGGAAAGAUUUAUUGGUUGGGGAUGGGCUCGCGGCCUAUCAGCUUGUUGGUGAGGUAAUGGCUCACCAAGGCGUCGACGGGUAGCCGGCCUGAGAGGGUGACCGGCCACACUGGGACUGAGACACGGCCCAGACUCCUACGGGAGGCAGCAGUGGGGAAUAUUGCACAAUGGGCGC